UACGUAGGCAGCAAGCGUUGUUCGGAGUUACUGGGCGUAAAGGAUGCGUAGGCGGCUUUUUAAGUUUGGUGUGAAAUCUCCCGGCUCAACUGGGAGGGUGCGCCGAAUACUGAGAGGCUAGAGUGUGGGAGAGGAAAGUGGAAUUCCUGGUGUAGCGGUGAAAUGCGUAGAGAUCCGGAAGAACACCAGUGGCGAAGGCGGCCCGCUGGGCAGUGGCUGACGCUGAGGCGCGACAGCGUGGGGAGCAAACAGG
rnacentral:rRNA from 1 species